rnacentral:rRNA from 1 species
UAGGGAAUAUUGGGCAAUGGGGGAAACCCUGACCCAGCAACGCCGCGUGAGGGAAGAAGGCCUAACGGUUGUAACCCUCUGUCAUAUGGGAAGAAGGACUGACAGUACCAUAUGAGGAAGCUCCGGCUAACUACGUGCCAGCAGCCGCGGUAAUACGUAGGGAGCAAGCGUUGUCCGGAAUUACUGGGCGUAACGGGUGCGUAGGCGGCAUGUUAAGUUAGAUGUAAAAUACCCGGGCUUAACCCGGGGACGCAUCUAAAACUGG